rnacentral:rRNA from 1 species
GUAGGUGGCAAGCGUUGUCCGGAAUUAUUGGGGCGUAAAGCGCGCGCAGGCGGUUCUUUAAGUCUGAUGUGAAAAGCCCACGGGCUCAACCGUGGAGGGUCAUUGGAAACUGGAGAACUUGAGUACAGAAGAGGAAAGCGGAAUUCCACGUGUAGCGGUGAAAUGCGUAGAGAUGUGGAGGAACACCAGUGGCGAAGGCGGCUUUCUGGUCUGUAACUGACGCUGAGGCGCGAAAGCGUGGGGAGCAAACAGGAUUAGAUACCCUGGUAGUCCACGCCGUAAACGAUGAGUGCUAAGUGUUAGGGGGUUUCCGCCCCUUAGUGCUGCAGCUAACGCAUUAAGCACUCCGCCUGGGGAGUACGGCCGCAAAGGCUGAA